UGACUUAGCGGCGGACGGGUGAGUAACGCGUGGGCAACCUGCCUUACACAGGGGGAUAACAAUUAGAAAUGAUUGCUAAUACCGCAUAAGACCCCAGUGCCGCAUGGUACAGGGGUAAAAACUGAGGUGGUGUAAGAUGGGCCCGCGUCUGAUUAGGUAGUUGGUGGGGUAGAAGCCUACCAAGCCGACGAUCAGUAGCCGACCUGAGAGGGCGACCGGCCACAUUGGGACUGAGACACGGCCCAAACUCCUACGGGAGGCAGCAG
rnacentral:rRNA from 1 species